rnacentral:rRNA from 1 species
UACGUAGGUGGCAAGCGUUAUCCGGAAUUAUUGGGCGUAAAGCGCGCGCAGGCGGUUUCUUAAGUCUGAUGUGAAAGCCCACGGCUCAACCGUGGAGGGUCAUUGGAAACUGGGGAACUUGAGUGCAGAAGAGAAAAGCGGAAUUCCACGUGUAGCGGUGAAAUGCGUAGAGAUGUGGAGGAACACCAGUGGCGAAGGCGGCUCGCUGGACCGGUUCUGACGCUGAUGCGCGAAAGCGUGGGGAGCAAACGGG